rnacentral:lncRNA from 1 species
GUUCGUAACCAAAACCGAAAAAAUAAUUCAGAAUGAAAAAAAAACAUUAACCCAGUUAAUAGUGUAGCAUUGUACAUGCUGUAUGUUAUGGAGACAGAUAUCGAUCAUCCUGGAUUUGCAAGACUAAGAUUGGUACAAAUGUAGCAACACAUAAUGGAGAAUCCCUUCGUGACCAAUGUAAACGCUGUCCCACAGGUACAUGUACUGGUAUAAAAUUAUGCAAUGCUAUGGGCAUCACGUCAUGGACGUCAAUGGCCACCUAGUUUUGUUAUUGACAGG